rnacentral:rRNA from 1 species
AAGGUGGGUUCAGGCUGAAUGGAAACCAGCCAGAGAGUGCAAAGGCAUAAACCCGCUUGACUGCAAGGCCAACGCGCCGAGCAGAGACGAAAGUCGGACUUAGUGAUCCUACGGCACAGAGUGGAAUGGCCGUAGCUUACCGGAUAAAAGCUACCCUGGGGAUAACAGGCUAGUCUUGCCCAAGAGUUCACAUCGACGGCAAGGCUCGGCACCUCGAUGUCGGCUCAUCACAUCCUGGGGCUGGAUAAGGUCCCAAGGGUUGGGCUGUUCGCCCAUUAAAGUGGUACGUGAGCUGGGUUCAGACCGUCGUGAGACAGGUCGGUCUCUAUCCGCUGUGGGCGUUAGGAGUUUGAGAGGCGCUGCCCCUAGUACGAGAGGACCGGGGUGGACGGAGCGCUCGUGAGUCGGUUGUCGCGCCAGCGGCAUAGCCGAGUAGCGAUCUCCGGAGCAGAUAACCGCUGAAAGCAUCUAAGUGGGAAACUGACCUCAAGAUGAGACUCCUCAUCUCGAAAGAGAGUAAGACCGCUCGAAGACGACGAGCUUGAUAGGCCGGAGGUGGACGCGCAGCAAUGUGUGGAGCUAACCGGUACUAAUGGUCGAGGGCUUUGA